CAAGGUUGAAAGUUGUUUUUAUUUUCUUACAUGUGCAUAUGGGGGAGUGGUUUACCGGUAAGAAAAAUAUUUAUUUUUGCUUACAUGCUUGUUUGUGUAUCUUUUUAGCAAAGGACUUUACUCUGGCAUUUUUGGAAAAUUAUUGUUUUUAGACCCAGGGAUUGCCACUGGUUUUGGAAAUUCACCUGGAGGGGCCACUUAACUACAAAGGCAAAUCCAUUCUGCUUGUUCCUUCAAAUGGAUGAGGAGAGUCAUUUCUGAAUGCUAAUGCUGCAAACUGAGAUAUUAAAGGCUGUGUUUAGUCAUGAAAAAGGAAGGCAACUUUGAAGACUGACCCUUACAACCUUGAGACGAUUUUCUAAAAGAAGAUACUUUACCUGAAAUCACAAUACAUACCACAGCUAAGGAUGUUUAAGGCAGAAGACCAAAUGUUAGGGGACUGAAGUGUGACCUAUUGUGAUCGACUUGGGUAUGCUUGGAUCUGUCUUUUGGUCACUUGAAGAUUCCUAACUGAUGCUUCCCCCACGGUUACAAAAAUCUGGAAAUUUUACCUAUUUCUUUUAUUCCCAUAGGAGUUAACAUCUAUUCUGGAAUAUGAACUAUAUAAAAUUAAAAGUGAACAAAAAGCACAAUACAAUUUAUAACCACAAAUAAAGAAUUGUGGCAACUGUUAAAGGUGUUUAAAGCAAUAAUUUUAUUUAGGCCAGAAAAGAUAGUCAAAUUUAAGCUAAAGUAACAAACUAUUAAAAUGCAAGCCAAUGGAACUUUAAAUCACCCCUCAAACAUUUCAAUUUUUGUAAUUUUGAUGUUUUAUUGCUAAACAACCUGACAUACUUUGUUUCUGUACUGUAGCAUUUAAAAAUUUCAAAAAGAUUAUAUUCAGUCUGGCACUAUAAAAUUUUCUAUUUUCUGUUAACUUUUAAAUGUGAUCUUACUUUUAUAUUUGACAUCUGAUUCCAGAAUUCAUUAUCAUGUCAUUUGAAGAAAUAUUUAUGUUUACUGUAGUAUUUUGAACAGAAUGCUGCCUUAAAAAAAUACAUAAGUUAGCCUAUCAAGAAGACAAAUUAUCUGCAUCUGGGUUUCUUAACCCCCGCUCCUAUUAACAUUCUAGCCCUACCUAACUCCUUCAUUUAUUCUUCUGUUUUCAAACUAGCUCUUAAUUACUUCCAUCC
rnacentral:lncRNA from 1 species